UCAACACUUUCUCUCACUAGUUAAACAUUUUAGAGAGAGAAAUAGGAGACUUUCCAUGAUAGCUUGAGUAUUCUUGAGAAGAAAUUCAACUACCAAUCCACCAAGGUUCUAACAAGACCUCACAUCUUCAUUUGGAGCUAUAGUCAAGGUUGGAGUCGAGUAAAGAUUCAACAAAUACCGAGUGGGCAGUGCACAUGCCGGUUGAAUGACGAUGUUGUGACAACUACAACCAUGCAUAUGCGGAGUGGGCAGCGCAUAUGCCGGUCGAAUGACGAUGUUGUGACACUUACAACUGUGCAUGUACGGAGUAGGCAGUGCACAUGCCGGUAUGAUGCUGUCGUGAUAUUUACAAUCGUGCAUGUGCGGAGUGGGCAGUGCACAUGCCGGUAAUGAUGCACAUGAGUCGAGUGAGGUGAUGGUGGUGUAUGUGCUUAUAUAUAUACAUAUUUACUAUAUAGAGAUGCUUGGAUUUAAUAUGUGAUUGCAUUGACUGUUGAAAACUUGAGUAUUGUCAAAGUGUUCAAUUUAAUGUGCAAUGUGACAUGAAUGGAUUUUUUCGGUGGCAAUGAGAGCCCCUUGGAUUUUAUUUGGCCAGAAUUUCGUUGCAGCGAGAAUGCCUUUUCCCUGCGAUGAGAGUCAAUCUAUUAUGCUUGACUUGCUUGAAAUCAA